CACUGCUACAUCACUGGUGUGCGCGCUGCCCUGCAGUUGGUUUGUUCUCUGACAAAAUUGUGUAAAACUUGUUAUUUUGUUGAAAAUACAUAAAUAGUUUAUAAUGGCAUCCAUACUGCGCACGGGCAAGCUGUUGCGUUACUUUGCUGGCUUCACGCGCAACGUUGUCGUCAACUCGGUGCGCGACUGCGAGAGCAACAAUCUGCUGCAAUCGGCGCCCUGCAUGUGCGGACAGUUCCAGAACGGUUUUGCUAGCAAUGCUGCUGCCACGAAGGCGGAGCACAGUCUGGACAGGCAGAUACGUCGCUUGGAUCAGGAUGCGCGUCGCGUGGGUCGCAUCUCACGGCGGGAUUUGGAGGAGGUGCUCGACGAGAUUCGCACACAUCGCACGGCGACCAGCUCACAGUCGCUGCUAGUCAUACGCUGUUGCGGAAAUCUGGUGCCGGAGGAGCUGCCCGAGGUGCGCACCGCACUGGUCCAGGAGAUUUGGAAGACCCUAAAUGCCCUGAAUGUGCCCAUGGACAUAUCGCACUACAAUGCACUGUUGCGUGUCUAUCUGGAGAACGAGCAUCAGUUUGCGCCCACCGAUUUUCUCGCCGAGAUCGAAGCCAAAGGCAUUGAACCGAAUCGCGUGACCUACCAGCGUCUGAUCGCGCGCUAUUGCCAGCAGGGUGACAUUGAAGGCGCCACACGCAUCCUGGAGUACAUGCGCGGCAAGAGCCUGCCGGUCAACGAGAACGUCUUCAACUCCCUGAUACUGGGACACUCGCAGGCCAACGAUCUGGAGUCCGCGAAGGGCAUUCUGGGCGUGAUGAAGCAGGCGGGCUUGGAGCCCAGCGCCGAUACCUACACGACGCUCUUGUGCGCUUUUGCGCGCCAUGGCGAUAUCGAGGCCUUGCAGUCGACGCUCGCCGAAUGCGAGCCCAAGGAGAUCAUAUUGCUGGACAAGGAUCUGCUGGAUAUUGUGUACACGCUGACGGUGCACGGGCAUGGCGAGCAUGUGGACGCGCUGCUGGGCAAGCUGCGCAUCUCGCCGGGCUUCAAUCAGGAUGCAGUCAAUAUCAUAUUGCGCCUGGUCAACAAGGGCUACGAGGAUGUGGCCCUGAAGCUGCUCCGUUUGAUGCCACGCGGCACCCGCGUCAAUGGCGAGCCCGUCGACGUGGGCGCCUUCUUCAUACGCCAGCUGGUCAAGGCCAAUCGGCCGGUGGAGAAAAUCCUCAGCAUUUGCCGCACGCUGCAGGCGGAGGGCCUCAAUCCCAAGGCGUUGACCAUUGCCACCGAGGCGGGUCUCACCAAUGGCGUGAUGAACAAUGCCCUGCCGCUGCUACAGGAGAUGAAGCAGCUGGGCUUGCCCAUACGCCAGCAUUAUUUCUGGCCAUUGUUCUGCUCCGUGGAGUCCAACCAGGUGCUGGACGUUGUGCGUCGCAUGCAGCAGGAGUUUGCCUUGAAUCCCAAUUCGGAAACGGUGCGCGACUAUAUCAUACCCAAUCUCAAGGAGAAGAACUGGGAGCGAGUUGUCACCGUGCUGCGCGAUGCGGGCGUGGCCAACUCCACGGCCGUCACCUCGGCCGUCUACGCAGCGCUGACCACGCAUCAGAUAGCGGAUGCUGCCCGGAUCAUGGAGGCGCAUCGUGCCUACUAUAUGCCCGUGAUCUUUCGCCAGCCGCUCAUCCUGGCGCUGAGCAACACCAACGAUUUCGCCUCCUUCAUACGUUGUGUGCGCCAAAUGCACGAGGGCAUGCAGCUGCGCGCCGGCAAGGAGGCGGCGGAGGAGGGAGAGCGCGUCGCUAGCGAUGCAGAGGCCGAUGCCACGCCCGAACGCAAUACGAUCGAUGUGGUGGGCACCAUUGUCCACGAUGCGGCCAUCUAUUUCCGGCGCGAACGCGUGCCCGUGCUGGAGAAAAUCUUGCAGGGCCUGGUCAAGCAGGGUCUGUCCAUAAGCAGCGCCAAGGCGACCGCCUUGUCCGAACUGUUGGGCUCUGAGAUGACGCCCAAGAUUGCCGAGGAGCUGGGCAAGCUCAGUUCGGGUGAACUGGAGCCCAUUCCAUUGCCCAAUAGCGGCAAACGCGCCUUGGACACGUUGACCGUUGAUGAACUGGAACGCUUCAUCAAGAAUGUGGAGGCCAAGGGCGAUAAUGCCAACAACAUUAAGCGUCAGCUGCUGAAUGCCUGCUUCCGUUCGCAGAACCUCGAGAAGACGCUGCAGGUGAUCGAGCGUCUCGAGCAGGAUAAAUUCCAGAUACCCAUCGGCAUCUUUGCACAGCUCAUUGAUCUGUACACAUUUCACAAGCGCAGCUCCGAUGCACUGAACCAGUACAACAAGUUGCGCCAAGCGGACCCCAACUUCAAGCUGGACAACUUUAAGGCGGUGCGGCUCGCGGAUCUGUUGCUGCAGGAGGAGCGUGAGCAGGAGGCGCUGCAGCUGCUGCAGGAGAAUCAAAAGGAGGCGCCCCACAACGAGGGCGAGGGCAGCUUUAACUACACGAGCACCGUGUGGCGCAUACUCAAUGCCAUUGCCGAAACGGGCGAUGCGGAGAAACUGAAGCGCAUCUUCGAUGCCCUUGUCGCGGGCAACUAUGUGGUGCCCACCAAUGUGGUGCUGGGUCCGUUGAUUAAGGUGCAUUUGGCCCGCGAUGAUAUACCCAAGGCGAUUGAUGCCUUCGAGCAGAUAUGCCAGCAGCACAAGGCGACGCCGUGGAAGAACGAGCUCGCCUGCCGCCUCAUCCAGAAGGAGGAUGCGGCGAAUCUGCAGCGUCUCACAGAUCUGAGCACCAGCAUACACGGCGAGGUCAACAGCCUGUACGAUCUGGUGUUCUCCUUUGUGGAGUGCGGUCGGGUGCGACAGGCGCGCAAGAUUCUGGAGACGCCUGGACUGCGCACCAGGCCGCAGCGCAUCAGCAACGCCUGCGAUCGCUACAAGAACGAGGGCAUGCUCCAGCCGCUGGAGGGUCUGAUUGAGGCAACAAAGGAUCUGGGUCACAUUGAUCGCAAUAAGAUUUACUACACGCUGCUGCUCAGCUAUGACAAGGCGGACGAGACGGAAAAGGCGCUGGGUCUGUGGACCAAAAUGCAAGAGGAGGCUCUCACGCCCACAGAUGCGUUCCUGCUCAAGCUGGCCGAUUUGCUGCAGCGCAAGAAUAUCGAGGUGCCGUUUGUGGUGCCCGAAACGCAGCAGUCCAAGAGCAGACGCCUCAAGGCAGCCAAAACGGAGCAGGCAGCGGCCAAGCAGGAGCUGAAGGACGAGUCCAAUGUGUCUGGACAGGAGCCCAAGCUGGGCGCAGCAGCAGCUGCAACAGCAGCGCCUAAGUCGAUCUCCAACGUGACCAGCUUUCGUCGUGCCAUUCAGCACAAUGAUCUGGAUGCCGCCAUUGACUACCGAAAGCGUUUCACAAGCGCCGAAAAGUUCGGCGUGAUGGACACCUCGCGGCUCAUUGAGCUGCUCGUCCGCGCCGAUCGUCUGACGGAGGCCAGCAAAUAUGUCGAUGAGCUGCUGGCAAACAAGCAGCAUCCGCAGCCAAAGAUAUUCAAAUACUAUUUGAAUAAAAUUGCCGCCUCGGGCGAUGUGGAGGCGCUGCAGCGCAUUGGCCAGCAGCUCAACGAUGAACAGAAGCGUCUUGUGUCCUUUGAUAAUCGCUAUUGCCACGCCUACAUUGUUGCCGGCAAGUCCGAGCAAUAUCUGAAGCAGCUGAGCACAGAGAUUGAGGCGGCCAAGUCGCCCGAGGAGGCCGCCAAGUUAGCCGAAAAGUUUCCGCGCGGCGGCGCCGUAGGCAUCCUGGAGAAGCAUCCCGAACUGGCGGCGCAAUACGAGUCGCUGGCCGAGAAGUACGCGGCCCUCAAUCAACUUGGGCCCAUGAACGUGCUGUGGAUGCACUUGAUAUCGACCGGUCAGGAGCCGGCCUCCAAGCAAAUCUGGGAUAAGUAUUUGUCCAGUGCGCCGCGUCUGAUGUUCCAGCGUGUGCUGCAAACGGCGCGCGAACAGCAGGACGAGAAGUUGGCUGCGACGGUCAUUUCACAGCUGCGCGGCAGCAAAAUAUCGGAGGGUGCCAUCGGCAAUGCCUACUCCUGUCUGCUGGACAUACAAACGAACAAGGGCAACACGGACAAGGCUCUGGAGGUGCUCUCGAAUGCCAUCAAGGAUGUGUCACUGGAGCACAUCAAUCGCACCGCGCUGCUGCGUCUCAAGCAGGCCGUUGAGGCCAAGUCACAAACGUUUCCGUACACGGUGCCCGAGAAGCGCACCAAUGCCAACGAAUCCAGCUCCUCCAGCAGCAGCAGCAGCAGCGAUGAUGACGAUGUGGCGCCCAAGCGACCGGAAACGAUGCCAACCAAGCCGGAACAGGCUUAGAGGGCGUUUAAUAAAAGAGACGUUCACACUUGCUUAGCUUAAACCUAAUCUUAUGACUAUAUACCCAAACUUGUUUUACAAUUUGGAAAAAGCCUUUUCAGCCGGAACAAAUCCAAUAUCUACACAUACACACACAUGCUACUAAGUGAGAAAAAAAAAAAACACAAAAACAAUGGAAUGGCAACAGUCAAUCGAUGCACAUCUGAA